GCUGGCGGCAUGCCUAACACAUGCAAGUCGAACGGCAGCACAGUGGUAGCAAUACCAUGGGUGGCGAGUGGCGGACGGGUGAGUAAUGCAUCGGGACCUACCCAGACGUGGGGGAUAACGUAGGGAAACUUACGCUAAUACCGCAUACGUCCUACGGGAGAAAGCGGGGGAUCUUCGGACCUCGCGCGGUUGGACGGACCGAUGUUCGAUUAGCUAGUUGGUAGGGUAAUGGCCUACCAAGGCGACGAUCGAUAGCUGGUCUGAGAGGAUGAUCAGCCACACUGGAACUGAGACACGGUCCAGACUCCUACGGGAGGCAGCAGUGGGGAAUAUUGGACAAUGGGCGCAAGCCUGAUCCAGCAAUGCCGCGUGUGUGAAGAAGGCCUUCGGGUUGUAAAGCACUUUUAUCGGGAGCGAAAUACCAUUGGCUAAUAACCGAUGGGGCUGACGGUACCCGAGGAAUAAGCACCGGCUAACUUCGUGCCAGCAGCCGCGGUAAUACGAAGGGUGCAAGCGUUAAUCGGAAUUACUGGGCGUAAAGGGUGCGUAGGCGGUUUGUUAAGUCUGUCGUGAAAUCCCCGGGCUCAACCUGGGAAUGGCGAUGGAUACUGGCAAGCUAGAGUGUGUCAGAGGAUGGUGGAAUUUCCGGUGUAGCGGUGAAAUGCGUAGAGAUCGGAAGGAACAUCAGUGGCGAAGCGGCCAUCUGGGACAACACUGACGCUGAGCACGAAGCGUGGGAGCAACAGGAUUAGAUACCUGGUAGUCACGCCUAACGAUGCGAACUGGAUGUUGGUCUCACUCGGAGAUCAGUGUCGAGCUACGCGUAGUC
rnacentral:rRNA from 1 species